CUGCUGAACCGCUCGUGAGUUUCAGCUCCAAUUGCACCCUGGCAUACGUGCUCUGAUUUAUGGAAGAUGCAGAAAAAUAAAUACAUCAAUUACACGAACAGUUAUCGAAAUGUUUGAAUGGGAGCGAGGAUAUAUAUCUAUAUCUAUAUCUAUAUAUAUAUCUAUGUAUAAAUCUAUAUCUAGUUGAAUAGCUGGCGUUUUUAUUUGCACACAAAACAAAGGUUGCGCUCUCAGGUGAGCGCUUUGUGCGGCCACUUGGCUCGGCGAUGAAAGGCGUAUCAUUGUUAUUGCGUGCCGUCGUGGCAGCUGCAUAAAGGCUGCGAGUUGACGCAAGGGUCACGCCGCCGACCUCUCUGCGCAUUGACCACAACCGCUGGGUGUGCCAGAAACGCGUAAAUCUCCUUACGCAGGCAGCAGAUGCGCCGCGUCCAUUUUGUGCUCCGUUCAUUUACAUAAAACACGCAUUUGAGAACGCCGGCAGCGGGUUGAUUUGCAUGCAACUUUGCCGUGACAAUCAGAUAUCCCGAAGCACUUGAACGCCACAUCGCACAGGAAACGAUGACCUAAGUCAACUUUAAUGACGUGUCACUGUGGCGCGUGCAUGAAAUACAUUUCUGCUGGCAUCAUUAAGGAUGCUCAGUUGAACGACUCUCAUACUAACAAUAAUAAAAGUGAUACUAUUAAAUUCGAUUUAUAUAGAUGUGUCAAACACAGCAUUUCCGAAGUAUUCAUUGUUUUUUUUUUUAAUAAACACUGUCAUUUAGAAUUGUAUUUUUGGUGGUGGUUGUAGUUCAAUGCACUGGGAACUACACACGUGUAAUAAAUUCUAAUGAAUACAAUUGGAAUGUGAUGACAUUACAAACUACAAGCACAAUAAUAUACAUCGAAUGAAUGAAUGCUUCUCGGACAGUGACAUUUGAAAAGGGAACAAUAUAUAUAUUUUUACAGUUCUUCAAUUGGAUAUUAUUAUCUCGUGCGAGAGGUCAUAAUACGAUUUGAUUGAUUCUCUUUACUUGAGCUGCAUGUUAAUGUUAAUUCAACAUGACAUUUUCUUGGGUCUCGUUGAAUAUUACUUUUUGUACGGAAAAAAUAGCGUCCGUAAAAAAAAGCAGAACCAAGUCAAGAGCUGUACGGAGAAAAUCUUUCUUGGACAAAGAGAAUAAUGCUCAGUUUUGAUUGACACUUUGAGAGGAAUUGAUUUAAUACGGUCAUUAUUGUUUAGUGGUUAUAGUUGACGAUGGUCUUGAAUUAUGCAUCACAGGCUAGAUGUAUCUUCGGCUGGGUGUCCAAAACAUUAGGAACAGCUCCGGGAUGCAGCCAACGACAUACAGUAUUGUCAUUGUUAUUUUAAGAUCACAGCAUGCACAUGCACGACACAACAUGUAGUACUUUCAUUUCAUGUAUAUUUAGAGUCUAAGAGCAUCAUAAUACCAUAGUUUGCCAGAUCCAAAUUCUGAUCGCCUUUUCACAGCUGUGUGAUUUAUGUCGCCCCGCACAUUCUGCUGCGGCCAAUGUGUGCAUUAAAAACCACGCCAGUGAAUGUUGUUGCUCUCUCUGUGUGCGUGCGUGCGUGCGUGCGUGUGUUUUGGGCUCACUUAUGAAGUGCGCUGUGCAAACUCCAGUCCUUUCAUUUGGCCCUGCAUAUUUUAUUUUUCUUUUCUUACAGCAAUAGAGGGCACCGGAACCGUAAAUCUUCUGUGUGUUCCAGAACAGCCCAAUUUGUAUGCAGCGUUCUCACCGGCAGCAUCCUCUGUGCCCAUUAACGCCUCCGCCCUCGGUCUCAUCUUAUCUGCCGGGCCUGUCUGGUCGCCAGCUGCGCGUGCGCACACGCGAACCCGGUCAGCAUCUCCACAAAACAACACCAGAGAGGAACAAAGACUGCCGCUGCUCUUAGAUGACCAUGUUGUCUGGAAAAAGUAGCAGAAAAGCUUCAAGUUGGCAGCAGACGACUUGGGUCCCGCACAGCUCAGCCAUUGGACGGCUCACAAGCACGUGAUCCGGGCUGCCUCCUGGCUGAGAUGGAGCUCAAGACCAGGAAGUGGACUUUUCUGUCAUCUUGCCAUUUAAGAGCAAUAUUCCCAUGGAUGAAUCCACAGAUAUGUGGCUUGGAGCGAGAUGACAGGAAUGGGCUCCGGGCCGGUGUUCCGAGGAAACAAGAGUGCGACCUUUGCGAGUGGGCAGCUGCUGGAGCCGGAGAAGGAAUUCCGUCUCUGCCCUUGGCAAAUGGAAAUGGCCACGGGCCUGCAGCUCACUGAUCACCAGGUCAAGAUCUGGUUCCAGAACUGCAGGAUGAGGCAGAGGAGCCAAGAUGAGUCGGCUGUAGCCCGGUUGUCUCCUCGCCGUGUCCGAUUAUCUCAUCCUCACAGUUUACGGAUUAUUCCCCUCCAUCCUCAUUUGGUUCUACCAGUGAUCGCCUUAUUCAUAACAUUUUAUACAGUGGGGUCUUGAGAUAAGACAUUUGUUAAUUUUUUGGACCAUGGCAUUAAUCCAUUGCAGUCUACCACCCACCAGUAAAAGGGUUUGUAUUGAUAAAAAUAGCACUCUAUAAUGUUAUACUUUACAGAAACAAACAGUAAUGAUAAAAUUACAUAGAAUUGUCAAAUUCAACAGUCUUUGUCACACUUUGUCGUUCAAUGGAAAUUGUGCUGCUCAUUCUGGUGUGUGCACAUUUGGCACCUGGGGGCAGUGUAAGACAGACACACGGAUAUGCUGAACUGGACUGACUGGCGACCAAUUUAAGGGUGGAGUCCGCCUUUCGAUCGAAGUCAGCUGGGAUAGGCUCCAGCGCCCCGCGACCCUAACCAGGUUAAGCGGUGUUGAAAAUGGAUGGAUGGAUGGAGACUCACCUCCUCUCUCGACUUUUCAGUACAGCAGUAAUACUAGUCAUUCUUCGCAGAGGACAAAGACUAUAUGCCAGUCGGUAUUGUUAUAUUGUCUGUUUACCUGUGUUGCUGCGGUGUUUGUGUUCAGAUAUCCUAAAGGGGAACAACAACCGCCAUAUACUCUCACUCUUUGUUAUAUUGCAGCCAUUUGUUAAAAUCAUUUAAGUAUUUUUUUUUCUCAUUUAUUUACGCACAGCACCCUAUAUGGACAGAAACAAAACGUAAUUGAUGACAUUUUUGCUGAUUUAUUGAAAAAAGAAAAACUGAAACAUCACACAGCCGUAAAGUAUUCAGACCCUUUGCUGUGACACUCAUAUUUAAAUCGGGUGCAUCCGUAAAAUGGUUCUACACCUUCAUUGUAGUCCAGCUGUGUUUGAUGAUACUGAUUGGACUUGAUUAGGAAAACCACACACCUGUCUAAAAGACCUACAGCUCACAGUUCAUGUCAGAGCAAAUGAGAAUCAUGAGGUCAAGGGAACUGCCUGAAGAGCUCAGAGACAGAAUUGUUGCAAGAAAGAAAUUCUGCUGCGCUUAAUGUUCCGAAGAGCACAGUGGCCUCCAUAAGCCUUAAACGGAAGACGUUUGGGACGAUCAGAACCCUUCUUAGAGUUGUCCGUCCGGCCAAACUGGGCAAUCGGGGGAGAAGAUACUUGGUGAGAGAAGUAAAGAAGAACCCAAAGAUCACUGUGGCUGAGCUCCACAGAUGCAGUUGGGAGAUGGGAGAAAGUUCUACAAAGGCACCCAUCACUGCAGCCCUCCACCAGUCGGGGCUUAAUGGCAGAGUGGCCCGACGGAAGCCUCUCCUUUGUGAAAGAUACAUGGCAGCAUCAUGCUGUGUGUGUGUGUGUUUUUCAGCCGCAGGGACAGGAUGACUGGUUGCAAUCGAAGCAAAACUGAAUGCGGGGAAGUAGAGGGAUAUCCUGGACGAAACCCCACAGCUAAAAUACCGAAGGAGUGGCUUCAGAACAACUCGGUGACUGUUUUUGAAUGGCCCAGCCAGAGCCCUGACUUAAACCUAAUUGAGCAACUCUGGAAAGACCUGAAAAUGGCUGCCCACCAACGUUCACCAUCCAACCUGACAGAACUGGAGAGGAUCUGCAAUGAGGAAUGGCAGAUGAUCCCCAAAUCCAGGUGUGAAAAACUCCCCAAAAGACUCAUGGCUGUAUUAGCUCAAAAGGGUGCUUGUACUCAAUACUGAGCAAAGGGUCUGAAUACUUAUGGCUGUGUGAUAUUGCAGUUUUUCUUUUUGAAUCAAUUGCAAAAAUGUCAUCAAUUGGUUUUUUUUCUGUCAAUAUGGGGUGCUGUGUGUACAUUAAUGCGGGGGGAAAAAUGCAUUUAAAUGAUUUUAGCAAACGGCUGCAAUAUAAAAAAAAAAAGAGUGCAAGCUUUAAGGGGGUCUGAAUACUUUCCGUACCCACUGUAGAGAGACGUCGAUUAGCCUGUGUGCCUUUGGUCUUUCCUUUUGCAUUUAGCAUUAAGGUUGCAGAGGCUGUGUGGUUGUUUCAAAGACACAACAGGUUAAAUGUUUAGUUUGACAGGAACCUUCAGCUGAGAGUGGCAAUAAACAGCUUGGAAACGCUUUUUGGAAGAAUAUUUACCAGUUACAUCUGCCAAACUGCUGCUUGUUGCGAGUUGAGUCACCUGCCACCAUAGCAUACAACUACGUAUCUCAAGUUUGCGCUUGCGAGUCGAAGCUUGGAACAAAUUCAUUCAUUUUUAAAAAUCGGCCAAUUGACGGCUCUUAUCUCGCAAAAGUCGGAAGUUGGGUCACUCGUAUCUCAAGGCACCACUGUACUUCCAUCUGUUCCCUUGGCCCAGAUCAUCAUCGCCACAUUCCAAAGUGGCCCUCAGGACCAUUAGUGGCCAUCUUACUCUUGAUACAUUUACUUCCACUCAUUAGCAUCUGUCAUCUUAAAUCCCAUGGCACACAACCAUAACUCGCUUUGAUGAAGGUACUGUACAAGAACCGAUCAAGUUUAAAGUUAAAUCACUGCAAAUCUGAUGGCACUGAAUACAGCAUAAAAAAAAAAAAAAAAAGAAUAGUUUUGCUGUGUUUCUGUGGAUUGUUUUUCGUAUUGUUGCAUGUUUUAAGCCUUUUUGCUUGCAUCAUGUGCUGCAACUCGUAACACGAUUGAAUGUAGUAGCAGGAUAUUUUUCUUCAAAUGAAACAAUCCUUUGAUGCAGUUCUCAUCUGAAUCUCACAUUCUGUCCACGCUCAAUAAAUUCAAUACCCGCUUGGAAUGACUUGUGCUUCAAUCUUUAUUUCACUUUGAAAGAUUCCUCUGCUGCAUUCUAAAAAGGUAACCGUACUGAGGCCAAAGGCUGC